GCCCGGGUAGUGUAGUGGCCUAUCAUGAGGCCCUGUCGAGGCUUCGACUCGGGUUCAAAUCCCGACUCGGGCG
rnacentral:tRNA from 1 species